rnacentral:rRNA from 1 species
AAACUAACAAGGAUUCCCCUAGUAACGGCGAGCGAAGCGGGAAGAGCUCAAAUUUGAAAGCUGGCACCUUCGGUGUCCGCGUUGUAAUCUCGAGACGUGUUUUCCGUGUGGCGCUAUGGACAAGUCCCUUGGAACAGGGCAUCGUAGAGGGUGAAAAUCCCGUACUUGCCAUGGCUGUACCAUGCUUUGUGAUACACGCUCUAAGAGUCGAGUUGUUUGGGAUUGCAGCUCAAAAUGGGUGGUAGACUCCAUCUAAAGCUAAAUAUCGGGGAGAGACCGAUAGCGAACAAGUACCGUGAGGGAAAGAUGAAAAGCACUUUGGAAAGAGAGUUAAAAGUACGUGAAAUUGUCGAAAGGGAAGCGCUUGAAGUCAGCCAUGCUGCUUGAGACUCAGCCUUGCUUUUGCUUGGUGUAUUUCUCGGUAGCAAGCCAGCAUUGGUUCGAGUCGUCGGAGAAGGGUAUGAGAAAUGUGGCAUCCUCGGAUGUGUUAUAGACUUGUACUGGAUACGACGAUUUGGAUCAAGGAACGCAGUGUGCCUCUGGCGGGUCUUCGGACACCUUCACACUUAGGAUGCUGGCGUAAUGGCUUUAAACGGC